UACGUAGGGUGCGAGCGUUGUCCGGAAUUAUUGGGCGGUAAAGGGCUCGUAGGCGGUUUGUCGCGUCGGGAGUGAAAUCCACUGGCUUAACUGGUGGCUUGCUUUCGAUACGGGCAGACUGGAGGUAUGCAGGGGAGAACGGAAUUCCUGGUGUAGCGGUGAAAUGCGCAGAUAUCAGGAGGAACACCGGUGGCGAAGGCGGUUCUCUGGGCAUGUCCUGACGCUGAGGAGCGAAAGUGUGGGGAGCGAACAGG
rnacentral:rRNA from 1 species